UACGAAGGGGGCUAGCGUUGUUCGGAAUUACUGGGCGUAAAGAGCGUGUAGGCGGCUUGGUAGGUCUUGCGUCAAAACCUGAGGCUCAACCUCAGUUCGCGUGGGAAACCAUCUAGCUAGAGUCCGGAAGAGGAGAACGGAAUUCCCAGUGUAGCGGUGAAAUGCGCAGAUAUUGGGAAGAACACCAGUGGCGAAGGCGGUUCUCUGGGACGGUACUGACGCUGAGACGCGAAAGCGUGGGGAGCGAACAGG
rnacentral:rRNA from 1 species